GAUGAACGGAAGCUUGCUUCCUGGAUUAGUGGCGAACGGGUGAGUAACACGUGAGCAAUCUGCCCUUGACUCUGGGAUAAGCGUUGGAAACGACGUCUAAUACCGGAUACGACCCUCGGAGGCAUCUCCUGGGGGUGGAAAGAAUUUUGGUCAAGGAUGAGCUCGCGGCCUAUCAGCUUGUUGGUGAGGUAAUGGCUCACCAAGGCGACGACGGGUAGCCGGCCUGAGAGGGUGACCGGCCACACUGGGACUGAGACACGGCCCAGACUCCUACGGGAGGCAGCAGUGGGGAAUAUUGCACAAUGGGCGAAAGCCUGAUGCAGCAACGCCGCGUGAGGGACGACGGCCUUCGGGUUGUAAACCUCUUUUAGUAGGGAAGAAGCGAAAGUGACGGUACCUGCAGAAAAAGCACCGGCUAACUACGUGCCAGCAGCCGCGGUAAUACGUAGGGUGCAAGCGUUGUCCGGAAUUAUUGGGCGUAAAGAGCUCGUAGGCGGUUUGUCGCGUCUGCUGUGAAAACCCGAGGCUCAACCUCGGGCCUGCAGUGGGUACGGGCAGACUAGAGUGCGGUAGGGGAGAUUGGAAUUCCUGGUGUAGCGGUGGAAUGCGCAGAUAUCAGGAGGAACACCGAUGGCGAAGGCAGAUCUCUGGGCCGUAACUGACGCUGAGGAGCGAAAGC
rnacentral:rRNA from 1 species